UACGGAGGGGGCUAGCGUUGUUCGGAAUUACUGGGCGUAAAGCGCGCGUAGGCGGCUUUGUAAGUUAGAGGUGAAAGCCCGGAGCUCAACUCCGGAACUGCCUUUAAGACUGCAUCGCUUGAAUCCAGGAGAGGUGAGUGGAAUUCCGAGUGUAGAGGUGAAAUUCGUAGAUAUUCGGAAGAACACCAGUGGCGAAGGCGGCUCACUGGAGCUGGUAUUGACGCUGAGGUGGCGAAAGCGUGGGGAGCAAACAGG
rnacentral:rRNA from 1 species